CCUACGGGGGGCAGCAGUGGGGAAUAUUGGGCAAUGGACGCAAGUCUGACCCAGCAACGCCGCGUGAGGGAUGAAGGUCUUCGGAUCGUAAACCUCUGUCAGCAGGGAAGAACGGUCACUGUGCUAAUCAGCAGUGAAUUGACGGUACCUGCAAAGGAAGCACCGGCUAACUACGUGCCAGCAGCCGCGGUAAUACGUAGAUGGCAAGCGUUGUCCGGAAUUACUGGGUGUAAAGGGAGCGCAGGCGGGAAGCCAAGUCAGCUGUGAAAACUACGGGCUUAACUUGUAGACUGCAGUUGAAACUG
rnacentral:rRNA from 1 species